rnacentral:lncRNA from 1 species
UAUUUCGCCCUACAGUUUCCGGCCAUGGUCGGUAGGCUCCAAAACAAACAGCGCCGUCGAAGGCCCUGGCAGAGGAAAGGUGCUCACCCCACAGCAGCAGGAGGCAGAGAAGGGAGAGCUGUGCACAAGAACACGCCCUUCCAGGUCACGCCCCUCUUGGCCACCUGGGCCCAGGCCCCACCUCCUGACAGCACAUUCAGUUGCUGAACUCCUCAAAUGGAUGAAUCCACGGACAAGCAUAACACCAACCCGACCUUCCAAAUACAGGAGAGUCACGGUGCACACUUCUAAGCCGUAACACACUGGAACCUCUGAAAUCAGGAGCCAAACUAAACCUGUCCUCUUGCUGCUCCACAAAUCAAGUAGCGCACGAAGGCCAGACCCACUGGGUUUGCUGGACAGGCAGGUCCUGUGGGACCUGCAGACCCCAGCGCCCCGGCUAACCCUCCCGCUGAAAGGCCUCUGUUUAAGUAUUUACUGAGAGCAAAGCAGGGAACAGACGAAUGGACAAUGGGGGACUACAAGGUGGAGGAGAAGUCUCCACGGCUACCAGGAGGUGGGUGGGCAGGACUAAGCUGGACGUUUGAGCAACAUCGGCCAUCGACAGACUGGUUUCAUUAGAGCUGCGCUCCAUGCCUCCAGUAUACGGCCCAGUUUGUAUGUUUAGUACUUGAGGGUGAAACCAGGAACCUCCAGGCCGCGGGCACGGAGCAAUGGCGAAUGCGUAUUUUUUCCAAAGGUGCAAAUGGGAAGAGGAUCCAUGUACCGAAAGGCUCAGGCACUUCUCUGAAAGCUACUCCUCAGGUGUAUUUCCUGUCCCUUCACACUGCCUGGGCCUUCUCUGAUCCUACUUGGUGCCGUUCAGAGCUGGUCUGCAUGUUGACAGCUACAAGGGAAAAGACAAGCUGCAAAGCACAGGAUACAGACUGGCUCGCUGAUGGCAGCCCUCGCUCUUACCCCGGAGGCCGGGGCGAGGCGAGGAGGAUUUUGUUCAAUUACGCAGUCUAACCUCUAGCUAUCACGAAAGGGCAACAAUUGGCAAUAUGCAAAUCCAGCCCUCAGAACCUCAGAGGCAGGACCAAGCUGAAUGUUGUGAUCCAAGCAAAGAUGGUUUCCUUGACAAAAACUGACUUCAACUUAGCCACAAUCCGAAGUGCUGACGAACACGGGUGUUUCUGCCACCUGCAGGCUGUGACACUCCAGGAUUUACAGCUGAUUUCACAAACUCAGCCUUAAGGACCACAGUGGGGAAGCCUUUAGUUAACAAUGGCAUGGCUGAUGGUCCAGAUUCUCUUAUUUCCCAGGUGACCCAAGUCCACAACACAGAAUCUGCUAUGCUUGGUGUCUGUAAGACUCAAAGGCCCGAGGAAUAGAUUUCCUCAUUUCGCCAAACCCACAUUUGACCUGUAUCUUGGAUAGCAUCGACCAUUUAUUGGCCUCUUGCUAGCCUCAAAGGAUCCAGCCAUUUUCGAGUUCACAAAGAAUCACUACCCUUGGACAGCUUGUGAUGUGAUUGGCCAGGCAAAGCCCCUGUACUAAAGCACAACCAAGACAAGUCUACCUGAAAGGUUCCCAUGGCUCCCUCAUCAGUGGGUACAAACAAGGUCACGUCAGUAUUAAUGGCCAGGUUUUGAUUACUCAAGAGUCCCCACCAACCACUGUGGAAAUCAGUAUGGAGAUAUCUCAAAGAACUAGGACUGGAAGUCCCAUUUGACCCAGCUAUUCCCCUGCUGGGUAUCUUCCCCAAAGAAUUAAAAGAACCAUACCACAGUGAUAUAUGUGCACCCAUGUUCAUAGCAGCAUAGUUUUUAAGAGCUAAAACUUGGAAAUAGCCGACAUGCGCAUCAACUGGAGACUGGAUAAAGAAGUGGUUUUUUUGUAUAAAAUGGAGUACUACUCAGCCAUAAAGAGGGUCCUGCAGGGAGGAGGUCAGAGGCAGAGACUUCUCCAACCCCUCUGAGCCACAGCUAACCACCUCCACGGAACCAUUUCUAUGUCUGCUGGAUGGAUGGAUGCACGCAUGCAGGGGGAAGCUCUGCUCUGCUCUGCUCUGCUCCUGCUCCUGCUCCUGCACCUGCUCCUGCUCCUGCUCCUGCUCCUGCUCCUGCUCCUGCUCCUGCUCCUGUUCCUGUUCCUGCUCCUGCUCCUGUUCCUGCUCCUGCUCCUGCUCGGCUCUGCUCUGCUCUGCUCUCUUGGGGAAAAGCCAAGAGAGGCAGUAGUUGAACUCAAUCCAGGACCUGAAAGCAUUCUGCAAGGGGAGUUGUCUUUGUUCUCCUGCAAGGUUUCCAGUGGAGAUAAAUGCGUUCCACAUGGCCCAGGAGGAGAAGGCUUCUUUCCACUUGCUUUUGAUCCUUCGACACUGCAGCGUGUAAACACUUAUCAUUCCAGAGUCUUCCAGAACCACAGGUCCUUCCCUGACCUCCCACCCUACCGGAGUGGCAUGACCGUGUCCCACACCACCCUGUAGCCGCCACCACCCAAGUGGAGAGCCAUGGUCAUGAGCCCCAUGGAACUGUCCUUGCCAGAAAGGACCCAAAGCAUAGGUUGCCCGGUGGCCUUUGCCUGUGGCCAGGCAGGCUUCAUGCCUAAACGCAGUCUUCCCUGUGGGCCCAGUUUCACUGUUCCUCCUUGACAGGCCAACUACCAGAUGAAGUCAGAUGAAAAAGGGGACGCGCCCUCACGGCCCCUGCUGGAGACUUCAGCUGUCACAGUCUCUCUGCAGGAAAACUGUACGUGAGUAAAUAAACGCAAAAGGAAACACUCUCACGUCCAGGAAUCUACCCCUAGGAAGUAAGUGAAAUGAUUUACACAUAAGAUGCUUCCUACAUCAUUUUAAAAAGUUUUUAAGGGGCCGGGGAUUUAGCUCAGUGGUUUCGCCACCUACUGCACAAGCACAAGGACCCAAGUUCGACCCCCAGUACCAAAAAAAUAAAGUUUUUAAAAAGGCAAGGCGGGGAACAACCUAAGUAAUUAAGGAUAGGGGAGUAAAUGGCUUCCUGCACUUUGACAACUGUGACAUAAGCCUACCAAAACUCAUAUUGGAGUAUAUGCCCUAAUAAAAAAUGAUAAAUAUUUAUUUUUAUAAAUUGCACCUGGGUACUAUUGAGCCAAAAUAUUAUGUGCAUGAUCAAAUACACAUUAUGGUCACUGUAAACAGUGUUUUAAAUUUAUUUUAUUCAUUUAUACUACAAAAAUAUUUUGGUAUAGAGAAAUGCAAUUUUUGAUAUGUUCUAUUAUUUGUGUAACUUUUAGGUCAACACUUUAUGAUACAAUUGAAGAUUCAGUGUAUUUUUAUACUAGGUUUUGAUAGUUACCAUAAUUGAAAACAUUCUUUUAUGAUGACACAGAUAAAAUAGUAUAAAAGCAAUAAUUGACCAUAU